AUUGAACGCUGGCGGCAUGCCUUACACAUGCAAGUCGAACGGCAGCACGGGUGCUUGCACCUGGUGGCGAGUGGCGAACGGGUGAGUAAUACAUCGGAACGUACCUUAUCGUGGGGGAUAACGCAGCGAAAGCUGUGCUAAUACCACAUACGCCCUGAGGGGGAAAGCGGGGGAUCGAAAGACCUCGCGCGAUUAGAGCGGCCGAUGCCUGAUUAGCUUGUUGGUGGGGUAAAAGCCCACCAAGGCGACGAUCAGUAGCUGGUCUGAGAGGACGAUCAGCCACACUGGGACGGAGACACGGCCCAGACUCCUACGGGAGGCAGCAGUGGGGAAUUUUGGACAAUGGGGGCAACCCUGAUCCAGCAAUGCCGCGUGAGUGAAGAAGGCCUUCGGGUUGUAAAGCUCUUUUGUCAGGGAAGAAACACCGGCUCUAACACAGUCCGGGAAUGACGGUACCUGAAGAAUAAGCACCGGCUAACUACGUGCCAGCCGCCGCCGUAA
rnacentral:rRNA from 1 species